rnacentral:piRNA from 1 species
UGAGCAUUUUAAAGGCCAAGGUAAUAAUGU